UACGGAGGGUGCAAACGUUGCUCGGAAUCAUUGGGCGUAAAGCGCACGUAGGCGGCCUGAUAAGUCGGGUGUGAAAGCCCUGGGCUCAACCCAGGAAGUGCACUCGAAACUGUCAGGCUUGAAUAUGGAAGAGGGUCGCGGAAUUCCCGGUGUAGAGGUGAAAUUCGUAGAUAUCGGGAGGAACACCAGUGGCGAAGGCGGCUCUCUGGACAGAUACUGACGCUGAGGCGCGAAAGCGUGGGAAGCAAACAGG
rnacentral:rRNA from 1 species